rnacentral:rRNA from 1 species
GUUAAGAGGAGUGGUUAGCUUCUGCGAAGCUACGAAUCGAAGCCCAAGUAAAAGGAGGAAGGAAAGAAGAAGGGGAAAGGGGGGCGAAAUUCCUUGUCGGGUAAGUUCCGACCCGCACGAAAGGCGUAACGAUUUGGGCACUGUCUCAACGAGAGACUCGGUGAAAUCAUAGUACCUGUGAAGAUGCAGGUUACCCGCGACAGGACGGAAAGACCCCGUGGAGCUUUACUGUAGCCUGAUAUUGAAAUUCGGCACAGCUUGUACAGGAUAGGUAGGAGCCUUUGAAACGUGAGCGCUAGCUUACGUGGAGGCGCUGGUGGGAUACUACCCUAGCUGUGUUGGCUUUCUAACCCGCACCACUUAUCGUGGUGGGAGACAGUGUCAAGCGGGCAGUUUGACUGGGGCGGUCGCCUCCUAAAAGGUAACGGAGGCGCUCAAAGGUUCCCUCAGAAUGGUUGGAAAUCAUUCAUAGAGUGUAAAGGCAUAAGGGAGCUUGACUGCGAGACCUACAAGUCGAGCAGGGUCGAAAGACGGACUUAGUGAUCCGGUGGUUCCGCAUGGAAGGGCCAUCGCUCAACGGAUAAAAGCUACCCCGGGGAUAACAGGCUUAUCUCCCCCAAGAGUUCACAUCGACGGGGAGGUUUGGCACCUCGAUGUCGGCUCAUCGCAUCCUGGGGCUGUAGUCGGUCCCAAGGGUUGGGUUGUUCGCCCAUUAAAGCGGUACGCGAGCUGGGUUCAGAACGUCGUGAGACAGUUCGGUCCCUAUCCGUCGUGGGCGUAGGAAAUUUGAGAGGAGCUGUCCUUAGUACGAGAGGACCGGGAUGGACAUACCUCUGGUGUACCAGUUGUCGUGCCAACGGCAUAGCUGGGUAGCUAUGUGUGGACGGGAUAAGUGCUGAAAGCAUCUAAGCAUGAAGCCCCCCUCAAGAUGAGAUUUCCCAACUUCGGUUAUAAGAUCCCUCAAAGAUGAUGAGGUUAAUAGGUUCGAGGUGGAAGCAUGGUGACAUGUGGAGCUGACGAAUACUAAUCGAUCGAAGACUUAAUCAAAA